rnacentral:lncRNA from 1 species
AGAGAAAAGAAUUUUUAAGCCAUAUGACUUGGAUCCAUGUUACCUUCAGUAUAGUACAAUGCAAGGCAUUUGGAUGGUUUACUAUAAAGAAACCCAAGAUCCAGUCCUCUGAGCUUUACACAUAAAACUACCAGACAAAGCAAAGUGUACUGAACCAUAAGAGUGGAAAAUGUACUUUGGGAAAAUGGCCAACUGGGGAAGGUUUCUUGAAGGGACAGAACAUUUAUACUAGAGUCUUGAUUGGGUAGUAUCAAAUGGGUAAGGGAGGCUUACAAAUAAUGCAUGUGCUGCUGAGGAUAGCAUAAGCCAAAGGAGAAGGACAGGCACUGCAGGAAUGGCCAGGCCAGAGCAUUGGUUAAAGGUAUCAGGAACCGGACUAGAUGUAGAGUACCAUGAUGUGUCUGGAACUAUAUUUGUAAUACAGCUUAGGUAUCCUUGUCUAGUCUAAAAAUAGAUGCUACUGUUAAAAGGGAUGGGUCCUAGAGUGCCAAGGCUUGGCACUUGCAAUCUUAAGAGACCAUCCAGUCCAGUAGUUUUUCCAAGUUAUUUAAUAGUGAAGGGCUUUAGUAUAUAAACAAAAUAUUGGUUGAAUGAAGAACCUACCUACUGAGCUUUCUUGUCAUUCCCAUCCCACCCCAACCAACAAAGAAUGUUUGAAAAACUGAUCCAAUCCUAAUUUUACAGGUUAAACUAAAUUUAGGCCCAGUGUGGUUAAAUUAUUUUCUAAGAGUCAUAACAAGUUAGAAGCAAUUUUGAAACCAGAGAUUCCUAAAUCCAGGUCACUGGUUAGAAGUAGUUUCAGGUACUACUAAAAAGGUAAAGUAUGAUAGUGACAUGCAGUCUUAUUUCUGAGAAGUCAAAGCUGAGUCUUUAACGAAUCAGUCGUCUUAAAUGUUGUUUUGAUAAUGGUCUGAGCAGAGAAUGGCAGGAUAUGGAACAUGCCGCCAAUAAACAAAACCUCAGAGAUGGGAAGGACACAGGAACAAUCACAGAGCAGCAACCGAAUUCUCAUUUCCAAGUAGUCGCCUUUUAAGGAUAAGAACCCACAGAAGUUAAGAGUCAGGCAAAAUUGGGAGGGAAAGAGUAAGAAAGCCAAGUAUUGGAUGUGUGUGAUCUAACCAAGGACAAAUCACAACUCUCCAGACCAAGGCCACUGCAACUGAAAGGUUACAGAACAAAAGAUACUGGACUCCAGCCACACCCUAACUCCAGAGGACUCAGAAGAGAUCUUACCACGACCUCAGCUAGAGAAGCCUACACAGCACACAGGAGCCUGAACUUAGGACCACUUUGUUAGGAAAGGGACCCAGGGACAAGUCACCACUCACUUUAACUUCUUCCCACAUGGGACAACAUAAAAUGUGUAGAGAGACAAAAUCCAUGGGAGCCCCACUAUUUUUGAGAAGCAAGAAUAUCUGCUGCUCUCUGAGCGCCAGGGAUUUCCAAAAUGAAGCACUGCAUACCUCAUAACAGCUCCCACCAAUAGAAGUCAAGCCAAUAUAUCACUAAUUGCCAAAUGACACACAGCAAGUUGCCUACCAGGAUCAAAGUAGGAGAAAAAUAAUGGUAAAAGGAUAUUAACUAUGCCAAGCACAUUCACCAAUCCUCUCUUUAAAAAUUCUAGGAUGAAAUGGUAAUAUGACUGUUUCACAGGUAGCAAAACAGGCUCAGGGAAACUGAGAACUUUCCCAAGAUCUCAAUACCAUUAAGUGAUAAAGACAAGAUUCAGUGCCAGGCCUCCUUUCCCUAUUUAUGCUUCUCACCCAAAGAACAACCUAGAGUGCUAGUGCUGGUCUAGACAAAGAUGUCAAGUGGCAGAUGACACCUCAAAAAGCCUAUUAGCAAAGUACUACACUGUGCUUACCUUUCAAGAAUGAUUUCCUCAUGGGUGACUUUGUUCCACAUUUUUGGAUUUCUCCAUAUAACUGAUUUUAAUCAUCCUGAUGAAAAUAUAUCUAAACUUUAAUGAAUACUUUCCUGCCUACCUUUUAGAUAGUCACUGAACAGAAUUCCAACAGAUUUUCAUGAAUAUCAGUUAUUGUUAUAAUGUAGUGGUCCCCUCUGGGAUUCCCAAGAUGGGAUGAACUAUUUCGGACAUGGCAGAAGUGUUUCUCAGAAUAUUUUCUUUCUCCAAGCCAAGGCCUUCUAUCAACCAUGAAUUCAGGUAUGCAGAGUUAACUUCAGAAGCCCUCCUACUUCUAAUGCUCUCUGUUUUAAACUUGCUACUCAAAGUGUAGUCUAUGAACCAGCACAUCGGCCUCACCUGAGAGAACUGCAAGAAAUGCAGAAUCUUAGGCCUCACUGAGACCAACUGAAUCAGAAUCUGCGUUUUAACAGGAUCUGGUAAUUUAUGUGCACAUUUAAAAUGGAGAGGCUGUGCUCUAAAGUUUAGUCUAAAAUAAGCCAUUUUUAAAUAUUAAGUUCAAAUCACAGGGUACAGCUCCUUCCCUGGGCCUAGAGAUUAUUUUUCAGGGUUUUAGCAGCUCUUCUAGCUCCCAAUCUCCAAAGAGGAUAAUAGAGAAUAAUUAAAUAGCUAGUUAAUUAACACUUCAAAGGACAGUUUGGGGAAUAAUAUGCUCCAAAUUGGAGCUAGAGUACAUGGAGAAAAGUGAGUAAUACAUUUAAACUUUGCUGUUUAUGGAGUAAAUUGAAACUCAUUAUUUCUACUUCUACAGCUAGUCUCUAUUAACUCAAUUAUUUCUCACAGAAACUAGCUCUGUCUCCUCCCCAGUUUUAUUUUCACUCUAGUUCUACCUACCAUAACUUGUCUCUCCUACCAGAAUUUUAAACCUUGUACUGUGGCUUAUUUUCACUCCACAAGGAAGCUUGACAGGACAAAGGAUGGCAAUUAGCCUGGAUCCUUGCCUGCUGAGAGGACAGGAUACAGAUUUAGGAUUUCCUUCCCAGAGACAAAAUAUUCUGCAACAGGUUUAGAGAUAGUCUGAAUUCAUAUAUACAUGAACAUAAAGACAGACGUUGUGUGCAUACAUACAUGUAUAUAUAUAGUUGAGAUUUCACCUAUAUCAUCUUGUAAGUCAUAUAUUUAUGCAUUUAAACAUUAUCUACUAUAAUUCAGAUGCAAAUACAAAAGUGAAUAAAAACAUCUCUACCUUCCAGAAGUUUACACUAUCCAGAGUUCAGGAGGGCACUAAGAAGACAGAAAGUGAGCUAUCUUGGACAGUCAAGGAGAGACUACCAGAGAAGUCAAAACCCUGAGGAAGACUAGCAGAUGAAAAGGAAAGGAAAGAUGGUUCAUGAAAGGAAUUCCACAAAGACCCAUGGGAGAACAAAAGCAUUGCUGUUACAAAAAAUCAAUGGGACAAAUGGAGAUUGUUGACCAAGUUUCAUGAGAGCUGAGAGGAAAAGAGCUGGAAUGCAAUGCACAGUGAAGAGCCUGGGCCUGACGGAUUCAUGUCUUUGUCUUCCUUUAGAAUGAGGAAGGAGAAAAAGAUGGAGAUAUAUGCAACUGGUUUGUAUCUGGAAUGGUGGAAAGCAAGUAAGGAGUGUUAUCUCUAUUUACCAAUGGGUAACUAGGUUCCAGAAGACUGACUUGCCAAAGGUCACACGGCUAGGUAAUGGCAAAAAAUCUCCUAUCCAAUGCUGUUCACAAAAGACAAGUGUAAUGAACAGUUCAAAAGGUCUAACAGUCCUAAAACUAAUAAAUACAGACCUUAACACGGUCUAGAAACCAAGGUUCUCAUCUCAUUCUGCCACUAGCUAGCUUCGUAACCUCAAAAGGAUUCCUUAACCCAUUUGACUCUAUCAAAUGAGAAGACUGGGCUAAAUGAUACCUGGUCCCUUUCAGUUCUUACACUUUAUGGUUCUGAAUCACCAGACUGCACUUGGGCCAGAGAAGGACUAAUCCCCUAGUGAUUAAAAGCCAGAGAACCCCUAUACUUGCCUGGUCAGUCAUUAGCCAGCAUCUGCUAGAGAAACUAAAACUCAAAUGAUCAGGUGGUAACAAUGGCCCUGGGAGGAAACUGGCAAUAACAUCCCAAAUAACCAAAAGCUAGCUCUGCCCUCAGCUCCUCAGCUCCCUGGAAAUAUCCUGGUUCUAAACAGUUUGGAAUGCUUACAAGCGACAUUGUAUUCAGCCUUCCAUUUCCAUGGCAAUGUUUUGCCUACUUCCAAAAUGAAUUUCAAGGGCAUGUGCUACUAUAAUAAAACCCUAACCUAACUAACCAACAAUAAAAAGACCAAGACAAAAUUUCGAAAAGGCUUUGGGGAAUGGUGGAAUGGGGGGGAAAAAAAGCUAAAGAAUCUACAAAGGCCAGGCAUGGUGGCUCACACCUGUAAUCCCAGCACUUUGGGAGGCCAAGGCGGGCGGAUCACGAGGUCAGGAGUUCGAGACCAUCCUGGCUAACACGGUGAAACCCCGUCUCUACUAAAAAUACAAAAAAAUUAGCCGGGCGUGGUGGCGGGCGCCUGUAGUCCCAGCUACUCGGGAGGCUGAGGCAGGAGAAUGGCGUGAACCUGGGAGGCGGAGCUUGCAGUGAGCCGAGAUUGCGCCACUGCACUCCCACCUGGGCCACAGAGCGAGACUCCGUCUCAAAAAAAAAAAAAGAAAAGCAAAAGCCUGGAUGGACAAUGCCAUGAAGACAUUCCCUACUACAUUCUUGAGGGAGAAGGCAGGGUAGAGGGUGGAGGAAGAUUGAGAACUCCAUUUUUGGUGUUACUUCUAAACUUUCUAUGUGAUUCUACAAAAGUCUUUCUCCUCAGACAGCAUCGCAGGGAGUCCUAUAGACCCACAUCCCUUACCAGGUGCUCAAUCCGAUUUCCAGGUUAGACCUCACACCUUCAAGUGUCCUCCUCUGUCAGACAUCCUACCCCUGGGAAGCUGUUCCACAUGAGCAAACUGCAUCCUAACAGAGCUCAUGCCCCUGUGUACUCAGCCAGAGCUCAUGAGACUUAUUUACCACCACGAGAACAGUAUGGGGGAAACCAACCCCAUGAUUCAAUCAUCUCCCACCGGGUCCCUCCCACAACACAUGGGAAUUAUGGGAGCUACAAUUCAGGAGGAGAUUUGGGUAGAGACACAGCCAAACCAUAUAAUUUCAUCCCUGGCCCCUCCCAAAUCUCAUGUCCUCACAUUUCAAAACCAAUCAUGCCUUUGCAGCAGUCCCUAAAGUCUUAACUUAUUUCAGCAUUAACUCAAAAGUCCACAGUCUGAAGUCUCAUCUGAGACAAGUCCACCUAUGAGUCUGUAAAAUCAAAAGCAAGUUAGUUACUUCCUAGAUACAAUGGGAGUAUAGGCAUUGGGUAAAUACACACAUUCCAAAAUCAGAAAAACUGGCCAAAACAAAGGGGCUACAGGCCCCAUGCAAAUCCAAAAACCAGCAGGGCAGUCAAUUUUUAAAGCUCCAAUGUCUCAUAUCCAGGUCAUGCUGAUGCAAGAGGUAGGUUCCCAUGGUUUUGGGCGGCUCUGCCCCUGUGCUUUUCAGGGUACAAUUCUGAUACUUUCUUUGAAAACCCAGCUCCAGGUCACCCCCAAACCUCCAACCACUUCUAGAUACCAGCAAUAGGCCUUGCUCUGAAGUCUUUAAGCUAUCCUAACUACAAAUGUCAGUUUACUCCUCUGUCUCUUCCUCUACCUUGGAAGGUCUGGGAAGGUAAGGACCAUGUCUUCCUUGUUCACUGUUGAAUUUUGGGCCACCGUAUAUGGCUAUAUAGCUGAAGUUCAGCCCAAUGUUGCACUUUCCAAGUUUUGCAGCCUGGCAUCAGCCUGCAUCUACCCAGAGGCAACAGCACAUUUUUCUAAUUCAGACAAAGCCAAGCCACAUGUUUUUGAGGGCUCCCACUACCCAGGGUGUAAAUACUCUAACGAUUGUACAAAGGUGCCACCGUAUGGCUGGGUGAUGGCCCUGGCCAUAUCCCUCUGCCAACCACGAUGGCUAGCAGGAGAGAUAAUCAAUAUUAGUUGAAAUAACACACUAACUGGGCUUACUACAAACUCAUGUUUUCUAUCCUCACCUGGGCCUUCACUGUAUUUCCAUGGCCUCUUAUUUUGGGUGGACUGCCCCUGCUUCUCUCUGGGAAGUGGUUUGAAGCUCCAGCUUUCCUCAGGUUCCCAGUCCUACCCUUGAAGCCUUUACAUCCAUUCUCACACUACUAGAAAGAACUACCUGAGACUGGGUAAUUUAUAAAGAAAAGAGGUUUAACUGAAUAACAGUUCCACAUGGCUGGGGAGACCUCAGGAAACUUACAAUCAUGGUGGAAUGUGAAGGGGAAGCAAGCUACAUAUUACAUGGCAGCAUGAGGGGGUGGGAAAGGGUGGGAAUGAGGGAGACUGGGGAGAAGAGGUUGAGAGGGGGGAAGAAGAGGGGAAGAGAGAGAGGUGGGAGAGAGACAAAGACAUAGUGAAUGAGAGAGCGAGAGUGAAAGAGAGUGAGACAGAGAUUGAGACAGUGAGACAGACAGAGUGAGACAGAGAGUGAGAUAGUGAGAGAGAGAGAGAGAGAGUGAGAAAGACAGUGAGAGAGAGAGUGAGAGAGAAAGUGAGAGACAAUGAGAGAGACAAUGAGAGAGAGACAGUGAGAGAGACAGUGAGACAGUGAGAGAGAGAGAGACAGAGAGAGAGACUGAGAUAGAGAGCGAGAGAGACAGUGAGAGACAGAGCGAGAGAGAGCGAGAGCGAGACACAGCGAGAGAGCGAGACACAGUGAGAGCGAGACACAGUGAGAGCGAGACACAGUGAGAGCGAGACACAGAGCGAGACAGUGAGAGCGAGACAGAGCGAGACAGUGAGAGCGAGACAGAGCGAGAGACAGUGAGAGAGCGAGAGACAGUGAGAGAGAGACAGUGAGAGCGAGAGAGAGAGAGAGCAAGAGACAGUGAGAGCGUGAGAGACAGUGAGAGAGUGAGAGACAGAGAGAGAGGACAGUGAGAGAGAAACAGGAGGGGGACAGAGAGACAGAGGAGGG